rnacentral:rRNA from 1 species
GACGAACGCUGGCGGCGUGCUUAACACAUGCAAGUCGAACGAGUGGCGAACGGGUGAGUAAUACGAGAGUAACCUGCCCUCUCUUUGGGAUAAGACAUGGAAACGGAGUCUAAUACCGAAUAAAGGGGGAUUGGCUCGGUGCCUAUCAGCUUGUUGGUGGGGUGAUGGCCUACCAAGGCGGUGAAGGGUAGCCGGCCUGAGAGGGUGAGCGGCAAAAUUUGGACUUGGGUUCCGGCCAGAAUCCUACCGGGGGCAGCAGUGGGGGGUUUUGCACAAGUGGCGAAAGGCUGGUGCAGCGACGCCGCGUUGGGGAUGAAUGCUUUCGGGUUGUAAACCUCUUUCGCUAUCGAAAGGGUAGGUGGAGAAGAAGCGCCGGCUAACUACGUGCCAGCAGCCGCGGUAAUAC